AACGUAGCUNACGCGUGAAGUUGACNGNNUGGNNAGUACGGUCGCAAGAUUUAAAACUCAAAGGAAUUGACGGGGACCCGCACAAGCGGUGGAUGAUGUGGAUUAAUUCGAUGCAACGCGAAAAACCUUACCUACCCUUGACAUGCCACUAACGAAGCAGAGAUGCAUUAGGUGCUCGAAAGAGAAAGUGGACACAGGUGCUGCAUGGCUGUCGUCAGCUCGUGUCGUGAGAUGUUGGGUUAAGUCCCGCAACGAGCGCAACCCUUGUCUCUAGUUGCUACGAAAGGGCACUCUAGAGAGACUGCCGGUGACAAACCGGAGGAAGGUGGGGAUGACGUCAAGUCCUCAUGGCCCUUAUGGGUAGGGCUUCACACGUCAUACAAUGGUGCAUACAGAGGGUUGCCAAGCCGCGAGGUGGAGCUAAUCCCAGAAAAUGCAUCGUAGUCCGGAUCGUAGUCUGCAACUCGACUACGUGAAGCUGGAAUCGCUAGUAAUCGCGGAUCAGCAUGCCGCGGUGAAUACGUNNCCGGGUCUUGUACACCACCCGCCCGNNCACCACCCAUGGGNGUGGGCUUUUANCAG
rnacentral:rRNA from 1 species